rnacentral:rRNA from 1 species
AUUGAACGCUGGCGGCAGGCCUAACACAUGCAAGUCGAGCGGAUGAAGGGAGCUUGCUCCUGGAUUCAGCGGCGGACGGGUGAGUAAUGCCUAGGAAUCUGCCUGGUAGUGGGGGAUAACGUCCGGAAACGGGCGCUAAUACCGCAUACGUCCUGAUGGAGAAAGUGGGGGAUCUUCGGACCUCACGCUAUCAGAUGAGCCUAGGGCGGAUUAGCUAGGUGGUGGGGUAAAGGCCUACCAAGGCGACGAUCCGUGACUGGUCUGAGAGGAUGAUCAGUCACACUUGAACUGAGACACGGUCCAGACUCCUACGGGAGGGCGGAGUGGGGAAUAUUGGACCAUGGGCGAAAGCCUGAUCCAGCCAUGCCGCGUGUGUGAAGAAGGUCUUCGGAUUGGAAAGCACUUUAAGUUGGGAGGAAGGGCAGUAAGUUAAUACCUUGCUGUUUUGACGUUACCAACAGAAGAAGCACCGGCUAACUUCGUG